rnacentral:pre_miRNA from 1 species
CAAGUACUUCUUUCGUCUUAAAAUUCUUGUCUUAACUUUGUCUAUAAAUGGAUGUAUCAAAAUAAUAGAUGUUACUAGAUAUAUUCAUCUCUAGACAAAUUUAAGACAAAUUUUUUGAUACGAAGGGAGUAGUAG